rnacentral:rRNA from 1 species
ACCUCAAAUCUAGUUCUCUCUUAGACAAUAAACAUCUCAUAAAAUUAAAACAAAAUAAAACAUUUUCUUAAGUUUAGUAAAAGCGAUUGAAAAUCCUAAAGAAACUAUAAAUACAGUACCGCAAGGGAAAGAUGAAAUAAUAUGAAAUAAAUUAAAGUAAAAAAAAGCAGAGAUUAACCCUCGUACCUUUUGCAUCAUGAUUUAGCUAGUCUAAAACAAGCAAAGCGUAACUUAAGUUUGCUUUCCCGAAACUAAGUGAGCUACUUUGAAACAGCCUUACGGGCCAACUCGUCUCUGUUGCAAAAGAGUGAGAAGAUUUUUAAGUAGAAGUGAAAAGCCUAUCGAACUUAGAGAUAGCUGGUUAUUUGGGAAAAGAAUAUUAGUUCUGCCUUAAGCCAAACAACACAGUUUAAAGUAACUUAAGAGUUAUUCAAAUAAGGUACAGCCUAUUUGAUACAGGAAACAACCUAGAAAGUAGGGUAACGUCAUUUAAAACGUAAUUAAGUUGGCCUAAAAGCAGCCAUCUUUUAAAAAGCGUCAAAGCUUAAUUAUUUAAUAAUACUAAUUUCAACAAAAAUACAAAACCCACAUUUAAUACCAAAUAACUUUAUAUAAUUAUAAAAGAUAUUAUGCUAAAACUAGUAAUAAGAAAAAGACUUUCUCCUAAAUAUAAGUGUAACGCAGAAUAAACAAAUUACUGCUAAUUACUGUUCAUGACUCAAUAGUAGUAACCUUACUAGAAAACCCUACUAAUUAUAACAUUAAUCUAACACAAGAGUAUUACAGGAAAAAUUAAAAGAAAAGGAAGGAACUCGGCAAAAUAAGCCUCGCCUGUUUACCAAAAACAUCGCCUCUUGAUUAAUAUAAGAGGUCCCGCCUGCCCUGUGACUUAGUUUAACGGCCGCGGUAUCAUAACCGUGCGAAGGUAGCAUAAUAAAUUGUUCUCUAAAUAGGGACUAGUAUGAAAGGCACCACGAGGGCUUAACUGUCUCCCUUUUCCAAUUAAUGAAACUGAUCUUCUCGUGAAGAAGCGAGAAUAUAAAUAUAAGACGAGAAGACCCCAUGGAGCUUUAAACUUAUCACCAUUUACUUUUGUUUAUAUCAUUACAUAUAGUAAAAAUGUUACCUGAUAGUUUUCGGCUGGGGUGACCCUGGAGAAAAAUAAAUCCUCCAGGAUGAACGGAUAUAAAAUCCUUAUCAAAGAGCUACAGCUCUAAGAAUCAAUAUAUUGACAUUAUUUGAUCCAAUUAAUUGAUCAACGAACCAAGUUACCCUGGGGAUAACAGCGCAAUCCAUUUCAAGAGCCCUUAUCGACAAAUGGGUUUACGACCUCGAUGUUGGAUCGGGGUAUCCCAGUGGCGCAGUCGCUACUAAAGGUUCGUUUGUUCAACGAUUAAUAACCCC